AGAAGCUGUUCGAUGGACAGAGAUGAUUCGGGCAUCACGAGAAAAUCCAGCCAUGCAGGAAAAAAAAAGGUCAAGCAUUUGGCAGUUUUUCAGCCGACUUUUCAGCUCCUCAAGUAACACGACUAAGAAGCCUGAACCACCUGUUAAUCUGAAGUACAAUGCACCCACGUCUCAUGUUACUCCAUCCGUCAAGAAAAGAAGCAGCACCUUAUCUCAGCUCCCUGGGGAUAAGUCCAAAGCCUUUGAUUUCCUUAGUGAAGAGUAAGUCUUUUCCAAAUUAAUCAUUAUAUUC
rnacentral:sRNA from 1 species